UACAGAGGGUGCAAGCGUUAAUCGGAGUUACUGGGCGUAAAGGGCGCGUAGGCGGUUAGUUAAGUGAGAUGUGAAAUCCCUGGGCUUAACCUAGGAACAGCAUUUUAAACUGACGAGCUAGAGUACUGUAGAGGGUAGUGGAAUUUCCGGUGUAGCGGUGAAAUGCGUAGAGAUCGGAAGGAACACCAGUGGCGAAGGCGACUACCUGGACAGAUACUGACGCUGAGGCGCGAGAGCGUGGGGAGCAAACAGG
rnacentral:rRNA from 1 species